GAUGAACGCUGGCGGCGUGCCUAAUACAUGCAAGUCGAGCGAAUGGAUUAAGAGCUUGCUCUUAUGAAGUUAGCGGCGGACGGGUGAGUAACACGUGGGUAACCUGCCCAUAAGACUGGGAUAACUCCGGGAAACCGGGGCUAAUACCGGAUAAUAUUUUGAACUGCAUGGUUCAAAAUUGAAAGGCGGCUUCGGCUGUCACUUAUGGAUGGACCCGCGGCGCAUUAGCUAGUUGGUGAGGUAACGGCUAACCAAGGCAACGAUGCGUAGCCGACCUGAGAGGGUGAUCGGCCACACUGGGACUGAGACACGGCCCAGACUCCUACGGGAGGCAGCAGUAGGGAAUCUUCCGCAAUGGACGAAAGUCUGACGGAGCAACGCCGCGUGAGUGAUGAAGGCUUUCGGGUCGUAAAACUCUGUUGUUAGGGAAGAACAAGUGCUAGUUGAAUAAGCUGGCACCUUGACGGUACCUAACCAGAAAGCCACGGCUAACUACGUGCCAGCAGCCGCGGUAA
rnacentral:rRNA from 1 species